CACGUAGGAGGCGAGCGUUGUCCGGAUUUACUGGGCGUAAAGGGAGCGUAGGCGGACUUUUAAGUUAUAUGUGAAAGGCGUGGGCUCAACCCACGAAUUGCAUCUAAAACUGGUUUUCUUGAGUUCGGGAGAGGAGAGCGGAAUUCUUGGUGUAGCGGUGGAAUGCGUAGAUAUCGGGAGGAAUACCAGUGGCGAAGGCGGCACCCUGGCAUUGACCUGACGCUCAGGCACGAAGGCGUGGGGAUCAAACAGGAUUAGAUACCCGCGUAGUCCCUGAG
rnacentral:rRNA from 1 species